UGCGUAACGCGUGGGAAUCUGCCCUUGGGUUCGGAAUAACAUCUGGAAACGGAUGCUAAUACCGGAUGAUGACGUAAGUCCAAAGAUUUAUCGCCCAGGGAUGAGCCCGCGUAGGAUUAGCUAGUUGGUGGGGUAAAGGCCUACCAAGGCGACGAUCCUUAGCUGGUCUGAGAGGAUGAUCAGCCACACUGGGACUGAGACACGGCCCAGACUCCUACGGGAGGCAGCAGUAGGGAAUAUUGGACAAUGGGGGCAACCCUGAUCCAGCAAUGCCGCGUGAGUGAUGAAGGCCUUAGGGUUGUAAAGCUCUUUUACCAGAGAUGAUAAUGACAGUAUCUGGGGAAUAAGCCCCGGCUAACUCCGUGCCAGCAGCCGCGGUAAUACGGAGGGGGCUAGCGUUGUUCGGAAUUACUGGGCGUAAAGCGCACGUAGGCGGCGAUUUAAGUCAGAGGUGAAAGCCCGGGGCUCAACCCCGGAACUGCCUUUGAGACUGGAUUGCUUGAAUCCGGGAGAGGUGAGUGGAAUUCCGAGUGUAGAGGUGAAAUUCGUAGAUAUUCGGAAGAACACCAGUGG
rnacentral:rRNA from 1 species